GGAUGAGCAGGGUGAUCUGGUCCUGGCUAAAUUAUGUUGCACGAAUCCUGUAGCAUGUCCUCUGAGGACGCUGCUCCUGGUAAGUGGACUUCUAAUAGAGCAUCCAAGAAAAACAUCCAGCCUUCAGGACACGAACGCAAUCUCCACAAAGGAUUUUAUUUGUUCCAUU